GGCCUGUCUGAGACUCCAGAUGCCCCAGGCCCAGGAAGGGGGCCUCUGAGACCCCAGAUGCCCCCAGGCUCAGGAAGGAGGCCUGUCUGAGAUCCUCAGAUGCCCCAGGCCCAGGAAGGGGGCCUGUCUGAGACCCCAGAUGCCCCAGGCCCAGGAAGGGGGCCUGUCUGAGACCCCAGGUGCUCCCAGGCCCAGGAAGGGGGCCUGUCUGAGAUCCCAGGUGCCCCGGGACUGAUCCCAACAGGCUCUUCAGAUCCCUGUGCAUGUGUGGCUCUGCGUGGUGGCAUACAUCAGCCACCAGGACGGUCCUCCAGAGAGUCCCAACUCCCCAGGGAUGAGAAAAUGUUGGCUGUGAAGCCCAGUGGUCAGGUCCUGUCCCCCACACCCUGUCUCUGUGAAGGCUGGGCCAGGGGCAGGGACCAUCCGGGAGAGCUCUCACCCUGGGCCGCACUACCCAGUGCCCUGUGGGGCCCCGUUCUGCCUGACCUCAGGUGUGGCAGCUGUUGGGCCAUGUGCAUGCCGUAGGCUGGGGUGCUGGGGUUUGAGACAGGGGCCCCUUGCCUCCACAGCUGAGGAGAGCAAGCAUCCAGGGGCCCUUUAAAAUGACCCGAGGCCCGGGACACAGCUCACCCAGUGGGGCGUCUGCCUGACCAUGGACAUGGCCCCCGGUCUGGGCCCCAGCGCCUCUUGGAAACACCGAAGCACCUGCAGAAGCUCCGUGUGCAGGGCAUACUGUCUCUGUCUCCCAGCACAGUGGCUUGUGCACACGCCACCCACUGCUGUGGGGCUGGGUUUUGUCCUGUUUAUGUGGGACCCCGGGGAGGGGGAGACACCCAGCUCUGAGCUCGGGUGCCAGGAGGCUCCAGGAGGCUCGUGGGUGCAGCUGGGGCUCGGCUCUUGGUGGCUCUCCACCUGAGAGGAAGAUGGGGCGGGCGGGCCGCAUGUCUGGGGGGCGGAGGUGUUGGCCUCUAGUCCCUGAGUCCCCGGGAACACCCUGGCAGCUGGGCGGGCAGACAGCACACUGGGCGGGGGCCCGGCCUUGUGCCCCCUCCAGGCCUCCCCAGUCUGGAUGGGAAGUGGCCUGAAGUGUGUGUGAGGCCUUGCCCCAUAAACAGAUGGGGGGAGAUGGACAGAGGGGGAGAGAGACACACACAGAGAGAUGGCUAGAGGGGGG